AGCAGCCGCGGUAAUUCCAGCUCCAAUAGCGUAUAUUAAAGUUGUUGCAGUUAAAAAGCUCGUAGUUGAAUUUUGGAUUCUUCCAAUUGGUCCAUCUUUUAGAUGAGUACUGGUUGUGUGGGGUCUAUCCGCCUGGUGAUACGUAAUGUCCUUUAUUGGAUGUUGCGGGUAGUCAGGACCUUUACCUUGAAAAAUUAGAGUGUUUAAAGCAGGCUUAUGCCGGAAUACAUUAGCAUGGAAUAAUAGAAUAGGACGAAGUUGUUUUAUUUUGUUGGUUUCUAGGACAACCGUAAUGAUUAAUAGGGAUAGUUGGGGGCAUUAGUAUUCAAUUGUCAGAGGUGAAAUUCUUGGAUUUAUUGAAGACUAACUACUGCGAAAGCAUUUGCCAAGGAUGUUUUCAUUAAUCAAGAACGAAAGUUAGGGGAUCGAAGACGAUCAGAUACCGUCGUAGUCUUAACCAUAAACUAUGCCGACUAGGGAUCGGGCGAUGUUGUUUCCAUGACUCG
rnacentral:rRNA from 1 species